UAGGGAAUUUUCGUUCAAUGGGCGCAAGCCUGAACGAGCGAUGCCGCGUGAGUGAAGAAGGCCUUCGGUCGUAAAGCUCUGUUGCGGGGGAAAAAAGGCAGCAUCAGGAAAUGGGUGCUGACUGAUGGUGCCCCGCCAG
rnacentral:rRNA from 1 species